UGGUUCUGGCAUCGAUGAAGAACGCAGCGAAAUGCGAUAAGUAAUGUGAAUUGCAGAAUUCAGUGAAUCAUCGAAUCUUUGAACGCACAUUGCGCCCUCUGGUAUUCCGGGGGGCAUACCUGUCCGAGCGUCAUUGCAAACUCUCAAGCGUAGCUUGGUUAUGGGUUUCACCGUAACUGGUGGGCCUGAAAAGCAGUGGAUGUCUGGUGUGACUUUGAGUGUAGUAAAUUUUCCCGCUCUAAAGAAUCAUCGCAUCUCCAUAAAUCUUCCUCAAGAUUGACCUCGGAUCAGGUAGGGAUACCCGCUGA
rnacentral:misc_RNA from 1 species